rnacentral:antisense_RNA from 1 species
GCGGGGAGAAAGAGCAGGGGGACGUCGGGCCUGCGCCUGGCACCGCCGCUACCUGGAUUCGCGGGCCCCUCACACACUCACCUGCCGGUAUUCUAAUCACAGAAUUACUGGAGCAUCAAGAAGUGCCUGCAUGCUUGGAAGGGCUUCCAGGCAGAUGAACACACCUCAGCACCGGGUGGCAUUUUCCCAGGGUGCAACCCGGAGCGGCUCUGGGUCACACUGACAAGGACAACAGGGUUAACAAUUUCCAGAGACAGCCCGUACAUAGAAGGAAUGUUUACUGAAAAAAAUGAAGAGGGGUCAGGGCAAGGCGAGGAGCGAGAAGCACCCCCAAGGAAACAGAGAAGACCAGUACAACUGUACCUCUUUGCCAGCUGCACCAUCCGUACCAGUCUCCUGGGGUGGAAGUGUCCAGCGCAGAGACUGCCACACUGCAAGAUGAAGGGGCUGGACACACGGAAGAGAGAGGCGGAACCCUGCACCCCCUCGACCUCAGCCCUACUGAGUCUCCAAUGGGGCCACGCUUCUGAGUGCACCUCCCCCUGUCAUCUGUAAUGUGAGGGGGAACCAGGCUUGAUAUGGCAUUCCCAAUCCAGGGC